AGGACGAACGCUGGCGGCGUGCUUAACACAUGCAAGUCGAGCGGAAAGGCCCUUCGGGGUACUCGAGCGGCGAACGGGUGAGUAACACGUGAGUAAUCUGCCCCUAGCUCUGGGAUAGCUCCGGGAAACCGGGAUUAAUACCGGAUAUGACCACUUUAGACAUCUGCUGUGGUGGAAAGAAUUUCGGCUAGGGAUGAGCUCGCGGCCUAUCAGCUUGUUGGUGGGGUAACGGCCUACCAAGGCGACGACGGGUAGCCGGCCUGAGAGGGCGACCGGCCACACUGGGACUGAGACACGGCCCAGACUCCUACGGGAGGCAGCAGUGGGGAAUAUUGCGCAAUGGGCGAAAGCCUGACGCAGCGACGCCGCGUGGGGGAUGAAGGCCUUCGGGUUGUAACCCCUUCAGCAGGGACGAAGCGAAGUGACGGUACCUGCAGAAGAGCGCCGGCUAACUACGUGCCAGCAGCCGC
rnacentral:rRNA from 1 species